UGGGGUAUUGCAUGUGAGAGGCUGCAUGUGGGAUACACAAUCCCACAUGCAGCCUCUCACAUGCAAUACCCCAAA